UGGGGAAUUUUGCACAAUGGGGGAAACCCUGAUGCAGCGACGCCGCGUGAUUUAGAAGGCCUUCGGGUUGUAAAAAUCUUUUCUAUGGGAAGAAAAUGACAGUACCAUAGGAAUAAGGACUGGCUAAUUACGUGCCAGCAGCCGCGGUAAUACGUAAGGUCCGAGCGUUGUCCGGAAUCAUUGGGCGUAAAGGGUACGUAGGCGGGUAAGCAAGUUAGAAGUGAAAUCCUGUAGCUCAACUACAGUAAGCUUUUAAAACUGCUCAUCUUGAGGUAUGGAAGGGAAAGUGGAAUUCCUAGUGUAGCGGUGAAAUGCGCAGAUAUUAGGAGGAAUACCGGUGGCGAAGGCGACUUUCUGGCCAUAUACUGACGCUGAGGUACGAAAGCGUGGGUAGCAAACAGG
rnacentral:rRNA from 1 species